rnacentral:lncRNA from 1 species
UGUGCAUGCACGUGCAUCCAGCUGCCUGUUGAAUAUUUUGUGGGUCAGCGGUGCAUACCUCAUAUUUAUUGGGUUAGUUUGAGAAUAUUUAUUUAGGUUGCUGAGAAUUCUUAAUACCUAAUAACAAACAUAAAUUUAGGUCUAACCAUACGGUUUGAUGUUUAAAUCUAAAUCGUACAUCCUCCCGGCCGUUGACCAUGGUAUGUUCAACCAUCAUUAAUGUUGAUUGUAAACGGCUGACUUGAUGUGUUGCCUCCAUUCGCUGAUGUGGUAGGCUGUUGCAUUGGCUGCGAGGUAUUCCUGGCUUUGUGCCAUUUCUUGACCAAAUGAACUAUUGCAAUGAUCAUUAUAAAGAUCAUUGCAAUGUAUAUGGCAAUAUGGUGAUGACCUAUAUUUUCAAAGUUGUGGGGUAACUUGAAACUAUUCGGUGGUAACAGCCUUGUUUCCAUUUGAUACAGCUCCUUGUAAUUUAAUUUUUCUUCGUUUGUUGAAGCUGUAUCUGUCGGACGUUCAGUUGAUGUUUUGUUGAUGUCAUUUUCUCCGAAUCGAGCGUAUGACAAAUGCCAUGUCGUCUCCAUUGUGCUUUGACUUGUCACGGUCAUCAAAGAAUUUCGAAUGAUGCAUCCAGGGUUUGCGAUCAAUAAUCCUGAAUUUUGUAAUUUGAUAUCCGAUAUUCCAUCUGCACAUACUGCUGAUAAUUUCAAUGAUGAUUUUGUUGAAAAUAUCCAUUGAUUUUUACCAUGCAUACUCAACCAUAUAAAUGAUUUUUUUGUUUUGAUUAAGUUGCAUGAUGGAUCCGUUUUGUUAUGGAACAUUUGUAAAUGUUUGUAAAAUUGUUUGUUUAUUAUAGCAUACAAAAUCAUUGUUUGCUCUUGGAUGGCAAUUUUUUAGAUCACUCUCUGACUCUCUUGAAAAGCGAUGAAGUGAUCAGCUCUUCCCUUUGAUUCGGUGAUAAAGUCCUCAACUCGACUUAGUCUUUUGGAGUUUGAGAUUUCAUCCCUUUUUAUUACUGUUUCCGCAACUCCUCGCAACCAGUUCGGAAUAAAAAUCUCGAAGUAAAAAGUCGGAAUUCAAUCAAUUUAAUACUCUCCUUCUUUCAAUUUCGCUAUUCACCCAUUACAUGCAUGUUCUUCCUCUUUGUCUAUCGAUAUUCACAUAUUACAUGUAUGUUCUAUGGCACCAAACUUCUGUGAGCAUGUCAAAAUGCAACAAUUCAAUAUCUUAAUGCUACCAAUUCAUUUUACUUAUAUCCAAAUACUAAUUGCUCCCGGCCAUAAGCCCUUUGCGCAAAUUUGGCGUAAACAAUUACAUUAAUUGUAGAGUCAAUCAAUGAUGUCUGAUUUUUAAGCAGGGCUAAUAAGUGAUUCUCGUUAUCCUUAACCUUUGCUAUCGUUUCCGACAUUGUACGGGCAUAUGUUGAGUCUAGUACGCCAAACAGACUGCUUGCGAUGUUUCCAAUGAUGUCCAGCGGAGCUCUUUGUUUCCGUGUCCUUGCUAUUAGCGCAUAUUCAGCUUGCAGGUCCUCUUCUAUAUGUUUGAAAUGUUGAUGCAAACUGGUGCAUGCGUCUACUUGUUGAAGUUGCUUGCAUAGAUGUCCAAUUUUUGAAGUACCCAUGGUGAAUGUGUUCAUGUCUUUCCAAUAGGGCUUUAGGUUGUAAUAGACAAUUAUGGUCCAGUCAGUUGUCGCAAGUUGGCUGGUUCCUACUUUUUCGAAGUAUAUACCCGGGUUUGAACCAAUCUGGGCUAUGUUGAUUGACUGCGCCAUUGCUAACGGUAAAAGUAACAAUAUGACAAACAUUGUCAUGGUUAACGACAGUCUAUUCGGCUGUGUCC